GAGAGAGAGAAAGAGAGAAAGAGAAAGAAGAGAAGGAAAGAGAGGGAAAAUGAGAGGCCCGAUCGAGAGAAUUUCCCGAAGCCAUUCUUUUUAUCUUUCUCUUA
rnacentral:ribozyme from 14 species